CCAGGGCUGCGGGCGGCCGUGGAGCUGACGGAGUCCGGAGGGGGCACCGUGACACCCGGGGGGUCCCUCACCCUCCGCUGCAAGGCCUCCGGCUUCACCUUCAGCAACUUCUACAUGCAAUGGGUGCGACAGGCACCUGGGAAGGGGCUGGAGUUCCUCGCGGGUAUUAGCUACAAUGGUGGUUGGACAGGCUACGCGCCGUCGGUGAAGGGUCGCUUCACCAUCUCCAGGGACAACUCCCAGAGCACGGUCACGCUGCAGAUGAACAGCCUCAAGGAGGACGACACGGCCACCUACUACUGCACCAAAGCUUCUUAUGGUGGUUAUUGUGGUGCUCCUUAUGCUGGUGGUGGCCCCGACCUCAUGUCCCCACAUCCCAGCCCUGGGUCACAGAAUCAGAACCGUCCGGGUUGA